GGACGGGUGAGUAAUGUCUGGGAAACUGCCUGAUGGAGGGGGAUAACUACUGGAAACGGUAGCUAAUACCGCAUAACGUCGCAAGACCAAAGAGGGGGACCUUCGGGCCUCUUGCCAUCGGAUGUGCCCAGAUGUGAUUAGCUAGUAGGUGGGGUAACGGCUCACCUAGGCGACGAUCCCUAGCUGGUCUGAGAGGAUGACCAGCCACACUGGAACUGAGACACGGUCCAGACUCCUACGGGAGGCAGCAUG
rnacentral:rRNA from 1 species